rnacentral:lncRNA from 1 species
GGACCAGGGAGGCAGAGACGGCAGGAUCCUGACACACACUGGACAGCCAGCUUAGACCUACUCUGCAAGGCCUUGGUUCCAGUGAGAGAUCCUGCUCAAAAGGGAAUCCUGUGGAAGAGGAGGCAAGAAGUCUAAGAGACAGAGGGUAUGGAGGACACCAAGAAAGCAAGGCCAUUAAGUCAACAAGACUGGUGCAAAUCAGUGUCCACCGAGACAAAGGCAGCAUGCUCAGGACCCGUGUGAGUCUGUAGCAGAGUGAGGUUCUAGACCUGAAAGAAGUGGAUACAUGUCCCUAACCCAGAAGCUGUCUCCAAC